UAGGGAAUCUUCCGCAAUGGACGAAAGUCUGACGGAGCAAUGCCGCGUGAGUGAUGAAGGUUUUCGGAUCGUAAAACUCUGUUGUUAGGGAAGAACAAGUAUUGUUCUAACAGGACAGUACCUUGACGGUACCUAACCAGAAAGCCCCGGCUAACUACGUGCCAGCAGCCGCGGUAAUACGUAGGGGGCAAGCGUUGUCCGGAAUUAUUGGGCGUAAAGGGCACGCAGGCGGUCUUCUAAGUCUGAUGUGAAAUCCCACGGCUUAACCGUGGAAGGUCAUUGGAAACUGGAGGACUUGAGUGCAGAAGAGGAGAGUGGAAUUCCACGUGGAGCGGUGAAAUGCGUAGAUAUGUGGAGGAACACCAGUGGCGAAGGCGACUCUCUGGUCUGUAACUGACGCUGAGGUGCGAAAGCGUGGGUAGCGAACAGG
rnacentral:rRNA from 1 species